rnacentral:tRNA from 1 species
GUCACGAUAGCUCAAGUGGUAGAGUAGCGGUGUAUAAAGCCGAAGGUCGUGGGUUCGUAUCCCGCUCGUGACA